rnacentral:lncRNA from 1 species
ACUGGGAAAGGAAUGACACUUUGGAAAUUUACUUUGAGAAAUGUCUGUAUUAUUAAACAGAAUAAGGUUUUCAUUUCUGUAUUCUUUCAGCAAAGCUACUAAUCUGAGCAACGUGGAAUUAAAAUUGUAGACUAAUAAAAGAUUUUCCAGACUUGGUGUGUCCAAAUUCUGAUGAGGAAGCCUGGAAGGCUGAAGACUUAGGAAAGAGUUGCAAUUUGUGUCCAAAGGCAGUCUGCUGGUGAGCCAGGAAGAACUGAUGUUGCAGAUGAAAUCUAAAGAAACAUCAGGAGUAGACAAGACUGCCUGUUACUGUGUAGCACUCGA